GAUUUCAGGACGAUGUUCCUCUGCGAUGGAGUACGAUUCUGGAAUUCCUAUGUCUGUGACGGAGGGACACUCCUCUGCCCUUACACCAUCCUUGCGCGAAGGUUCUCUUGCUAAUUUCGAUGCACUGUGGCAAAUGAACUUGGGAUCAGGUGAAAUAAUGGGAUCUGGAUCUUAUCCCGUGCGACCUGGAGAGCCAGACUGUUCUUAUUACAUCAGAACUGGCCUAUGUAGAUUUGGAGCUACA
rnacentral:misc_RNA from 1 species